rnacentral:lncRNA from 1 species
CGGGAAGCUAGUCAGCGUGUGGUACUGGGCCAAUAUGCGCUAGCUAGGGUUAAGAUUGCCAAGGGUUGGGUUCGACAUAUUUCUUCGAUUUCGUCAUAAGCAAGUUGUCUCAUCCGACCCGUACCAACUUGGCUCCUCACCUCGUCUGCACCUUACUUGUCUCUAGCUACGCAAGUCAAGCAUGGCCUGGAGCUCGAGGUCAAGCUAGCAAUACCACCACGACUUGAUCCAUCUCUGCAUGCCAACUAUAGAUCGUGAUACUAUAGAAGCAGAAGUACUCCCUCCGUCUGGGUUUAAAAGGGCGGGUUUAAAAGGCCUGGGAGCCAAAACACAGAGACCAAGGAGAAAUGAAAGCCAAUUCUUGACCGUGGCAGCAACCAAUUAGAGCCUGAGAGUUAAGGCGAGUGAGUAGUAUUGGUCCUCUAUGAUCGAAAAGUUUCCUUCUCUCUCUUAGGUAAACACGCAUGCAGCUCAUACUCCACCUCUUAUUGGUCCAUCCUUUGGUCAUUACUUCAUGCAUGCAUGCAUGCAAUACUAACUUGUAUUAAUAACUUGCUUAGAGAACCGACACAUGGGCCUUAGAAAUAGGGACGUGGCUAGCUGGCUCAAGGGCCC